CUGUCUCAAAUCUCUAUUUACAGUUUCACCUCUCACUCUCCCUUUACACCAACUCCUUUGGCUCUGCUCUCUCUACCUUCUCUCUCUCACUCACUGCAGCUGUUGGUCCCGAUGAGGCGUUAUGUCACAGCGGCCCCUGCCAAUCAGGUGCUGUUGUCAAGGGAGAACAGAGCAGCAAAGCAGAGGAAAGGAAGUAGGAAGGGUGGAGAGGAGGAAGGGUUUGGUGUGUCCUGUGGUCUGCCUGGUGGGAGCUGGUGUAGAUUAUGGGUGUGUUCCUCUGCCCAGACGUUGCUGACGCAUUACAGAUCUAACUACACCUGGCAAGCGAUGAGAUCCAGAUCACCAUACCUCCGUGUUUAGUUCAUUUUCUUGGCCUGAACAACAACCACCACCACCACGAGAGUCGUGAUAAAGGGGGGACUAGUUGGAGUGUGACGGGGCUGGAAUGCACUGAUCCUGGGGAUGAGAGAGGGCUGGGCUGCUGCUUUGCCAUCUGCCCCUUUGUGUGAGAGGCUGGAGGGUGCAGGGAGGGGGUGGGCACAACAAGUGGCAACCCAUAACAAAUGAGAAAGGUGGAGACAGCUAGUGGUGGAAUGCAAAGAUUCAAUGGUGACCACAUGUUUUGUCUCUCGUUAGUUUUAAUCCCAGGUUAUUUUUCCACCCUUUUUUCUUUAGCCAUGAUUUGAGUUGUUUCAUUAAAACAUGCAUGAGUGAAUUAUCAUUCAAGAC